ACCAUGCACCGAAGCUGCGGCAGCGACACUGUGUGUUGUUGGGUAGGGGAGCGUUCUGUAAGCCUGUGAAGGUGUGUCGUGAGGCAUGCUGGAGGUAUCAGAAGUGCGAAUGCUGACAUAAGUAACGAUAAAGCGGGUGAAAAGCCCGCUCGCCGGAAGACCAAGGGUUCCUGUCCAACGUUAAUCGGGGCAGGGUGAGUCGACCCCUAAGGCGAGGCCGAAAGGCGUAGUCGAUGGGAAACGGGUUAAUAUUCCCGUACUUGGUGUUACUGCGAAGGGGGGACGGAGAAGGCUAUGUUGGCCGGGCGACGGUUGUCCCGGUUUAAGCGUGUAGGUGUGUGUUCCAGGUAAAUCCGGUUCACUUUAACACUGAGGCGUGACGACGAGGCACUACGGUGCUGAAGCAACAAAUGCCCUGCUUCCAGGAAAAGCCUCUAAGCAUCAGGUAACAUCAAAUCGUACCCCAAACCGACACAGGUGGUCAGGUAGAGAAUACCAAGGCGCUUGAGAGAACUCGGGUGAAGGAACUAGGCAAAAUGGUGCCGUAACUUCGGGAGAAGGCACGCUGACACGUAGGUGAAGUGAUUUACUCAUGGAGCUGAAGUCAGUCGAAGAUACCAGCUGGCUGCAACUGUUUAUUAAAAACACAGCACUGUGCAAACACGAAAGUGGACGUAUACGGUGUGACGCCUGCCCGGUGCCGGAAGGUUAAUUGAUGGGGUCAGCGCAAGCGAAGCUCCUGAUCGAAGCCCCGGUAAACGGCGGCCGUAACUAUAACGGUCCUAAGGUAGCGAAAUUCCUUGUCGGGUAAGUUCCGACCUGCACGAAUGGCGUAAUGAUGGCCAGGCUGUCUCCACCCGAGACUCAGUGAAAUUGAACUCGCUGUGAAGAUGCAGUGUACCCGCGGCAAGACGGAAAGACCCCGUGAACCUUUACUAUAGCUUGACACUGAACAUUGAGCCUUGAUGUGUAGGAUAGGUGGGAGGCUUUGAAGUGUGGACGCCAGUCUGCAUGGAGCCGACCUUGAAAUACCACCCUUUAAUGUUUGAUGUUCUAACGUGGACCCGUUACCCGGGUUGCGGACAGUGUCUGGUGGGUAGUUUGACUGGGGCGGUCUCCUCCUAAAGAGUAACGGAGGAGCACGAAGGUUGGCUAAUCCUGGUCGGACAUCAGGAGGUUAGUGCAAUGGCAUAAGCCAGCUUGACUGCGAGCGUGACGGCGCGAGCAGGUGCGAAAGCAGGUCAUAGUGAUCCGGUGGUUCUGAAUGGAAGGGCCAUCGCUCAACGGAUAAAAGGUACUCCGGGGAUAACAGGCUGAUACCGCCCAAGAGUUCAUAUCGACGGCGGUGUUUGGCACCUCGAUGUCGGCUCAUCACAUCCUGGGGCUGAAGUAGGUCCCAAGGGUAUGGCUGUUCGCCAUUUAAAGUGGUACGCGAGCUGGGUUUAGAACGUCGUGAGACAGUUCGGUCCCUAUCUGCCGUGGGCGCUGGAGAACUGAGGGGGGCUGCUCCUAGUACGAGAGGACCGGAGUGGACGCAUCACUGGUGUUCGGGUUGUCAUGCCAAUGGCACUGCCCGGUAGCUAAAUGCGGAAGAGAUAAGUGCUGAAAGCAUCUAAGCACGAAACUUGCCCCGAGAUGAGUUCUCCCUGAGACUUAGAGUCUCCUGAAGGAACGUUGAAGACGACGACGUUGAUAGGCCGGGUGUGUAAGCGCAGCGAUGCGUUGAGCUAACCGGUACUAAUGAACCGUGAGGCUUAACCUUACAACGCCGAAG
rnacentral:rRNA from 1 species